GUGCUGGGACUUAAGCAUGGGUCACCAUGUCUCUCUAGAACAGUAGGAUGAAGAAACAUGGGGCCUUGUGUGCAAUGGCUGCAAACGGCAGCUUCCUUGGUGUAGCCUGUUGCCUGUGUACAUGUAGCCUGUUGCCUGUGUGGGUUGCCCUAAGGGAACUUGGAGACAAUU
ensembl:snoRNA SNORA70 Small nucleolar RNA SNORA70